rnacentral:lncRNA from 1 species
CGGUUGCACAAUCCACAUACUGGACGACUUUUACCACUGUUUACUAUCUGUUGAUUCUCCUACAGCCUCUCGUCAUACUGCCACAAGAAUGAGGCCUAGAACUGAAACUCUGGACAGAUCCACUACUCGAACUGGCUCCUGCCCUAAAACCUACAUAACCACCACUGCUACAAGAUCUGGAGCUGAAGCUACCUCUCUUGUAUGACCUCUAACUAGGGCCACCCGCAUCAAACUGACGUCAAUGUGUAUCACCACGUCCCCACAUCGCCAUCUAGCUACUCUCAACCAAAAGAGUAGACACCACAAGUACACCAUAUUCCACAACGCGUUGAC